UCAGGAGGAGCUGCUGCCUCUCCAGCGAAUGUUUCGGGCGAGAGGUGGGGUCACCUGGACUGGUCGCCUGUCUGUCGCAGAGGUAGUAACGUUGUAAGCCACUGGGGAGUUAUUUCAGGUGCAGCAGCGACAUUGAGGCAAGCUCAAACCCAGUGCGCGGAAAUUGGUCUCUGCUUUUGAACGAGGACGUUACAGAUCUGUGCGUCUCUCCCAAAAGGACACGCACGCCCCGCCCUCCUGCACCGGAAACGCUCCAGAUACAUGACGUCAUGUGGUGAUUGACAAGAGCUGAGAGCGACUGUGGCCACUAGAGGGGGCUGGUAACUCGGUGUGGCGGCACCAAAGCGCUGAAGUAGCUGCAGGUUCUGACCGUGAUUCUGACCGGUUCUGGUCCGGAUCAGGAAGCAGCUCUUACCCGCCACACCCCGAGGCUCCGGUGAAUCCUGCAGCCCGUCUCCGUUCGUUUUAAAGCUGAUGGUUCCGGAUUAGCGGGGAAAGCUAACCGAACUUCAUUCCUGAGGAGCCGGAACCGGUCGGACCGCUGCGCCGGUCUCAUUUCUGCAGAACUUCAAACACGUGAUGGCGUCGCAAACACGCACGAGCUCCAGGUGGAUCAACACCUGCGGCUCAGGUGAACCGAGGCAUGUUUGUUUAUGUUUGAUGUUGUCUUAUUUAAAUCAAUAAAAGUCCUUCUGAACUUGUUCACAGCCCAGAACCUCAAGCCGAUCAACGGCUUUAAAAAUAAAGAUCUGAAAAGUGCGGAGUGCAUUUGUAUUUAGGGCCUGCCUCAGAACUCUGCAGAACCGCCUCUCCCUGAUGGGUUUCCUCCAUCUGUAGUUCAGCCAGUCUGCAUGGAGAACAUCAAGUCUUCCCACAGAAUCUCAGUUGAUUUAUGUCUGGACUUGGACUAGGCCAUCCCUGGUUUUCCGGCUGGAAUCUGAACCUCCAGCCCAGACUCUGGUCUUCUAACAGGUUUUCUUCCAGGAUUGUCCUGGAUUUAGAUCCAUUGCCUGUCCCACAGUGUGGGAGUGUUCUGUAUCAGUCACAAAAAGCAAUGAAAAUGUCAGCAGGCGACUCCAACUUUUACCUGACAGAAAAGUCCUGCAAGAAAAAAAAUUCACAAGAUAUAAAAGAAUAGUCAACUAGAAAAUAGUCAAUAAUCGUAAACAGAAAAACUAAAAUGAAUUUAAGACUUAAACUCAAGACGGUUGAGGCUAACUGUAGCUAGCUGUUUGCUUCUACUUGUCUGUCUGUUUGCCUUUUAUCAGUUAAAAACUGUUUAAUGACAUUUUCAGAGCAAACCUGAAAACAAUCCUUCAUCAUUUGUCACCAUAAAAUGAAAUAGAAACAGAACAGCGAUGCUAUCACUGCUGAGGUCCAGCACAUUUUUCCUGGGAACAGAUAAAAUCAGCAAAUAUUCAUCAGAACUGUCUGAAAAUAAAACAAAUGUUUGACCAGAUUGGCUGGAGUCCAACAGAUGAGCAGAAUCAGUCAGUAUUAAACCUUUACUGCAAAAUCAUUUCUGCUUGUGUUUCCGUUUCCAUGGCAACGUGCUUUUAUUACUGAAAUUUAAAUAAACUGCUGUCAUACAACAAGCUUUAAAAUAUGAACAUUUAUUCACCCAUGUGAUGAUUUGCAAUGUGAAGUGGUGAGGUAGACGCAGAGGCAGGCUAAAUGUUUAGCUUGCUAAUUAACAUUUAUCCUGAAACAAAAUAUUUGGUUAUUUGCCCUUUAGUAAAUUAUUACCAACUCAUGAUGACCUCGUCGCCAUGGCAACGGGAGGGGCGGAGCUUCAGGAAGCCUGAUAAAAUGUUUCCAAAAAGUUUGAUCAAAGUAAGUCGCAUCAGAAACCGGAUUCUGCAGGUUUUAUUUUUUUCCAGUGAAGUUACGUUAUUGAGUUUGUGCUGAACAUGGAGGAGGAAACUUCGUUCCCGUCUUUCUGCAGAGACUGAAAC